rnacentral:RNase_P_RNA from 1 species
CGAGCAGAGCAGAUGAUCGCCGGUCCGUCAUCCCGGACCGGAGGAAAGUCCGAACUCCGCAGGGCAGGAUGGUCGCUAACGGCGACUGGGGGUGACCCUAAGGAAAGUGCCACAGAAAAGACACCGCCUUUCCCGAAGAGGGCAAGGUAAGGGUGAAAAGGCGAGGUAAGAGCUCACCAGUUUCCCGGGUGACCGGGAAAGCUUGGCAAACCCCAUCCGGAGCAAGACCAAAUAGGAGAACGGGGCGGCCCGCCCCGAUGUUCUCGGGUUGCGUCGCUUGAGGCGGCCGGCAACGGCCGUCCCAGAGGAAUGAUCAUCGCCGCCUUCAGGGCGACCGGGAGGCGGAACAGGAUUCGGCUUAUGACCUGCUCGGACA